rnacentral:lncRNA from 1 species
GAUUGAUUAUACAGCAGCAGAAGGAGCUCAGACUCACAGCUGAGAGAACGUCAGGGUGAGAGAGAGCACAAGCAAGGGAGACUGUACAUACUGUAGCAUCAGUAUGUGACUGCUGGUGUCUGACAACACCGGUAUCUUGCUCUUGAAGUGGACAACUUGCUGAGCUACCUUUUAGCAUUUGCAAGAGGAUACCAGCUCUUAACCAGUACAACUGAUAACAGACUGGACCUUGGAAUAGUUAAUUUUACUUAUAAUUGCAUCUCUUAUUGCUAUGCAUCUCUGAAGAAGCAGCUUAUUACAGAAGACAAUUCAUCCUGUCCCUGUAGUUCACAUAGCACUGAUAAGACGGAGUUUCAUCUUCCAGAAUUCCUUUAGGCAAUGGAAGACAAUGUUGUCCCCUUGGAACCUUCUCUUCUUCACCUCCCUCAACCUUUCUUCAUGGGACAAGAGUUCCAGCCCUCUGAUCAUCUUUAUGGUCCUCCUCUGAACACAUUCCAGCAGCUCUGCAUCCUUCCUGUACUGGGGGCCCCAAGACUGGAUGCAGUACUCCAGAUGGGGCUUCACAAGUGCAGAGCAGAAGGGGACAAUCUCCUGCCUUGCCCUGCUGGCCACCCCUCUUUGGAUGUACCUCAGAAUAUGUUUGGGCCUCUGAGCUGCAAGCACACACUGCUGGUGCAUGUUGGUACUACUUUAAAUAAGCAGAAAUAAUAAAGUAACAAUAAUGACGUUAUGACUUAUUAUUCAUGUUUGUUGAAGGGCUUUAGACAGUGGCUGAAUGAAGAAUUCUGUAAGUAAGAUAUCCCAACCGUCUGAGAUGCAUCUUAACCUACCACUACUAUAAAAG